AACGAACGCUGGCGGCAUGCCUAACACAUGCAAGUCGAACGAGACCUUCGGGUCUAGUGGCGCACGGGUGCGUAACGCGUGGGAACCUGCCCUUAGGUUCGGAAUAACUCCCCGAAGGGGGUGCUAAUACCGGAUAAUGUCUUCGGACCAAAGAUUUAUCGCCUUUGGAUGGGCCCGCGUUGGAUUAGCUAGUUGGUAGGGUAAAAGCCUACCAAGGCGACGAUCCAUAGCUGGUCUGAGAGGAUGAUCAGCCACACUGGGACUGAGACACGGCCCAGACUCCUACGGGAGGCAGCAGUGGGGAAUAUUGGACAAUGGGCGAAAGCCUGAUCCAGCAAUGCCGCGUGAGCGAUGAAGGCCUUAGGGUUGUAAAGCUCUUUUACCCGGGAUGAUAAUGACAGUACCGGGAGAAUAAGCUCCGGCUAACUCCGUG
rnacentral:rRNA from 1 species